rnacentral:rRNA from 1 species
AUUGAACGCUGGCGGCAGGCUUAACACAUGCAAGUCGAGCGAGUGGCGGACGGGUGAGUAAUGCCUGGGAAACUGCCUGAUGGAGGGGGAUAACUACUGGAAACGGUAGCUAAUACCGCAUACCAUCAGAUGUGCCCAUAUGGGAUUAGCUAGUUGGUGGGGUAAAGGCUAACCUAGGCGACGAUCCCUAGCUGGUCUGUGAGGAUGACCAGCAACUCUAGAACUGAGACACGGUCCAGACGCCGACUGGAGGCAGCAGUGGGGAAUAUGGCACAAUUGGAGCAAGCCUGAUGCAGCCAUGCCGCGUGUGUGAAGAAGGCCUUCGGGUUGUAAAGCACUUUCAGCGAGGAGGCGUUACUCGCAGAAGAAGCACCGGCUAACUCCGUGCCAGCAGCCGCGGUAAUAC